rnacentral:rRNA from 1 species
UACGUAGGCAGCGAGCGUUGUUCGGAAUCACUGGGCGUAAAGGGCGCGUAGGCGGCUCAUGAAGGCUGUGGUGAAAGUCCGGGGCUCAACCUCGGAUCGGCCGUGGCGACUCGUGGGCUGGAGCACUGUAGAGGCGGGUGGAAUUCCGGGUGUAGCGGUGGAAUGCGUAGAGAUCCGGAAGAACACCAGUGGCGAAGGCGGCCCGCUGGGCAGUGGCUGACGCUGAGGCGCGACAGCGUGGGGAGCAAACAGG